rnacentral:rRNA from 1 species
UACGGGAGGCAGCAGUGAGGAAUAUUGGACAAUGGAGGCAACUCUGAUCCAGCCAUGCCGCGUGCAGGAUGACGGCCCUAUGGGUUGUAAACUGCUUUUAUGUAGGAAGAAACACUCUCACGUGUGAGAGCUUGACGGUACUACAAGAAUAAGGACCGGCUAACCCCGUGCCAGCAGCCGCGGUAAU